GAGUUUGAUCAUGGCUCAGAUUGAACGCUGGUGGCAGGCCUAACACAUGCAAGUCGAGCGGAUGACGGGAGCUUGCUCCUUGAUUCAGCGGCGGACGGGUGAGUAAUGCCUAGGAAUCUGCCUGGUAGUGGGGGACAACGUUUCGAAAGGAACGCUAAUACCGCAUACGUCCUACGGGAGAAAGCAGGGGACCUUCGGGCCUUGCGCUAUCAGAUGAGCCUAGGUCGGAUUAGCUAGUUGGUGGGGUAAUGGCUCACCAAGGCGACGAUCCGUAACUGGUCUGAGAGGAUGAUCAGUCACACUGGAACUGAGACACGGUCCAGACUCUACGGGAGGCAGCAGUGGGGAAUAUUGGACGAUGGGCGAAAGCCUGAUCCAGCCAUGCCGCGUGUGUGAAGAAGGUCUUCGGAUUGUAAAGCACUUUAAGUUGGGAGGAAGGGCAGUAAGUUAAUACCUUGCUGUUUUGACGUUACCGACAGAAUAAGCACCGGCUAACUCUGUGCCAGCA
rnacentral:rRNA from 1 species